CCCUUUCUGUGAGAGCAGAGAGGGAGUCAGCAGAGGCCGUAGUAGUGACGAUAGCCGGUGAGAGCCGGAAGGAGCGAAGGGC
rfam:Lentisphaerae bacterium RIFOXYA12_FTLL_48_11 rifixya3_full_scaffold_943, whole genome shotgun sequence.